GACGAACGCUGGCGGCGUGCUUAACACAUGCAAGUCGAGCGGUAAGGCCCUUUCGGGGGUACACGAGCGGCGAACGGGUGAGUAACACGUGGGUGACCUGCCCUCAGCUCUGGGAUAAGCCUGGGAAACUGGGUCUAAUACUGGAUAUGACUCCACGGUGCAUGUCGUGGGGUGGAAAGCCUUGUGCGGCUGAGGAUGGGCCCGCGGCCUAUCAGCUUGUUGGUGGGGUGAUGGCCUACCAAGGCGACGACGGGUAGCCGGCCUGAGAGGGCGACCGGCCACACUGGGACUGAGACACGGCCCAGACUCCUACGGGAGGCAGCAGUGGGGAAUCUUGCGCAAUUGGCGAAAGCCUGACGCAGCGACGCCGCGUGAGGGAUGACGGCCU
rnacentral:rRNA from 1 species